CUUUAACACUUUCAAGGUCCUUCUCCAGCCAUAGACCUGGACCAAAGCUGGAGUUGAGAAGACCUCUCCUUCACCCCACGUAGUUUCUUCUCAGAAGUUUUAGCCAAAUGUCCUGUUUGUUCCAACCUUUCAAAUGAAUCUGGUUUUAACUAGCUUAGCAAAGUUAUAUGUGACCUCUGAGAAACAGCUGAGUUCCCAGACUAGCCUGGCAAAUCUUGGACAUAAUCCUUGUGCAGCUUCUUCCCACUUAGCUUCAUCAUCCUGCAAAAUUCCAUCGACUUUAAUAUUUCACCUCAUCACUAUCCUCUUCCUCUCUGAUUAGAAAGUGGGGUCAUGAACCCUAAAUCUUCAUUUAAGGAGAGACUCCAGCUUAGAUAUCUCCUCCUCUCUGGCCUGGCUGCACUACUUUGGGACUUCUCUGAGUGACUUCUCCACCCUAUCCUCCUUGUCAGACUUGGUCCAGUUCCCUGGAAAUAGUCACUGGUACCAGGCCAAGUCAGUGCUGUUGCCGUGUCCCCCUCACCGGAUUUCACCGUUGUGGGAAAAAGACCAUCUGUCCCAGGUUGAGCAAAUGUCCUAUCUUGAACACCAGGUCAGAAUCACCCCCAUAUCCCCACCACAUUCUUAUUAUUAUCAGAAUGAACUUGGAUCCUCGCCAUGGCUCAAACAUCUAGCCACAACUACACAACUGUCUCAAUCUUUUCCCAGGGCAAAGGCUGUGCCUUUACCUCAUCUUCAUCACCACGAUAUGGCUAAAGUCUCCCCAAGUAGCAAAUACCAGAAAGUCACCUCAGUCUUGGCCUUACAUAAUAGGCAUGACAUUGAGGCCAAAGUUGCCUUGAAAUCCUUCCAACAGGAAGCAACUCCUUCAAGCUCUGACCACCUUCCCAAGAUUUUCCCAAGCUGUGAGAAUUCAACUGAUAAUCUACUGUCUGUCAACCAAUCACUCUCAUCUCCAUCAUUCUCCGACAAUAAAGCUGAGUUUUCCCCAUUCCUCAGCCAUGGGUCCACGACAGAAAAAGGAAUAUAUUCUGACUUCCAGGGCAAGGACAAGCUAUCUGUUAUCUCAAUGAGCUCUGGUAACCAAACUAAAGUUGCAAGGAGGCUCCAAAGCCAAGUCAGGGCUACAACUGCUACUACAUUAGGAAAUUUAGAUUUGAGACAUACAGCCUCUAUUACCUCAUCAUCACUUUGUUUUAACCACUGGUCCAGGCCAACAGCAUCAAAAACAUCAGAAGUAGACCACUGGGUCCAGGCAAAAGCUUCCAAAAUGUCAUAUCCUGACCUCCACCUCAGGGACACAGUGUCACUAUUAAGAUGUAUUGACCAUCACUCCAGGCCCUUGACUGACUAUUCAUUACACCUGAACCAGAAAACUAGAGCAACCACUACAAACUCAUCCUGCCCCAAACGUAUUAAAGCCAAAGCUUUGCCAUCACCAGCUCCAAACCAUCGGGCCAGGACAAGAGCUACCUCAUCACAAGGUGUUAAAUCAUGGGACAAGGGAUCAGCUAAUCACUGGGUCACAGCUACCUCUGUGCCCUUCCCAUUACACCACCAAAUGUAUGACGUUCCAAUCAAACAGGCAUCAUCCCAAUGCACUCUUCAUCAUCAGGCCACUUGUCCACCCACUCCUGAAUACUACCAGGCCAAGUACGUGACAGACUCCAAUACCCACAUCUUGCUUCAGAAAGAAAAAAACCGUACAGAAGUCAUGCCACAAGAUCUGGACUACCAGUUCACAAUGCUAACAGGCCAGGUAUACUGGUCAACAUCCUCAGUGAACAUGGAAUACAAUGGUACUGCUUCAUUUGACUAUGACCAGAGUACCACAACUCCAUUCAGUCCUAGAUACCAGACUGAGAGUGAACCAAACCCCCAACCCCAGAUCACACUUCAAAUGGAAAGAAAGAAUGAUUGCCAAAGAAUAUCAGUAAGAUCAGACUAUGAGGUGACACAUUUCAUGGACCAAGAUCAAUGGGCAACACCUUCACAGGGUGUAAGAAACCCUCAGAACAGAACUGUCUCUGGUCCUGAACAUCAGACCAUAUCUCUAUCCAGCAAUGACCACCAGGCUGAGGAUAUAGCAGUAGACUCUAAUACCCAGGUCAUAUUCCAACAAGAACUAGAUAAAAGGGAAACAUAUUGGAUGAAAGAUCAAAAGUCUUCACAACCAUCCAGUGUAGACCACCAGGUCCAGGAGAUCCCAGGAGAUCCCAGAGACCCACAAACAUUCCAACAAGAACUAGAAAAGUGGAAAAUACAAGACCCUAAGUUGACACCUUCAUCCAGCAAUGGUCACCAGGCUGAGACUAUACCAGCAGACCAUAAAACCCAGGUCAUAUUUCAUCAAGAACUAGAUGAGUGGGAAACAAUUUGGAAAAAAGGACAAAACAAUCAGUCCACAUCUCCACCAAACAAUGACCCACAAAUUCAGAAUAUGCCAGAAGAUGCCAGAGUACAUAUUAUACUCAAGGGAGAACCAUGUGAUCAGGAUAAAUUUUAUAAAAGACUAGACCACCAACCCAUACUUUCACCUGGAAAUGACCAUCAAAUUCAGCAUAUUCCAGCAGAUCACAAUGCACAGGUAAUAUUCCAUCAAGAAGAGGAUAAACAUGAAACAUUUUGGACACAAGGACAAAACCAUCAAUCCACAUCUCCACUAAGCAAUGACUACCAAGCCCAGGCUACUCCAGAAGACCCUAGUGCACAUAUUACACUCAAACAAGAACCAGAGAAUUUGGACACAUUUUGGACAAAAGGACUAGAUCAGCAGCCUACGUCUUCACCUGGCAAUAAACGGGAGGCUAAAGAUAAACCAGACUUCAAUUCUAAGACUACACUUCAACAAAAAAUAGAAGAAUGGAAAACACUUUGGCCAGGAGAACCAGACAAGCAGGGCACAAUUCUAACAAACGAGGGUUAUUUGGCAACUUCCACAUUAGACCUAAAAUACCAAGAUGAAACUUCACCUGAAACUAACCACAUCUCCACAUCUCCACCCAACUGUGGUGAACAGGCUUCAGAUGUAGCAGAAUUUAGCAUCCAGGCCACACUCCAACAAAAAAUAAGCAAAAGGGAAACAUUUUGGCCAACAGAACCAGACAAACAGGCCACAACUGUAACAGACCAGGAUUACUGGGCCACAUCCCCAUGGGACAUAAAACAUCAAGGCAGAAUUUCACCUGACCUUCAUCAUGGAGUGACACCUCUAAUCACACAUGAAGAUCAGGAUUCAGAUGUACCAGACCUCAGUCCCCAGGUCACACUCCAACAAGACCUAGACAAAAGGGAAAUAUUUUGGCCCAUAGAACUAGAUAAGCAGGCCACAAUUCUCAAAGACAAGGAAUUCUGGGCCACAUCCCCAUGGGACAUAAAACAGCAAGACAGAACUUCACCUGACCUUCAUCAUGGGGACACACCUCUACCUAUAAAUAAAGAUCAGAAUUCAGAUGUAUCAGACCUCAGUGCCCGAGUCACACUCCAGCAAGAACUAGGCAAAAGGGAAACUUUUUGGCAAACAGAACUAGAUAAGCAGGCCACAAUUCUCAAAGACCAGGAUUACUGGAUCACAACCCUAUGGAACAUAAAACACCAAGACAGAACUUCACCUGACCUUAACCAUGUGUCAACAUCUCUACCCACACUUGAAGAUGAGGAUUCAGAUGUAUCAGACCUCAGUGACCAGGUGGUCAUACCCCAACAAGAACUAGGCAAAAGGGAAACAUUUUGGCCAAUAAAACUAGACAAGCAGGCCACAACUCUCAAAGGCCAGGAUUACUGGGUCACAACCCUAUGGGAUGUAAAACAGAAAGACAGAACUUCACCUGACCUUCACCGUGGGGCCACACCUCUAUCCACACAUGAAGAUGAGGAUUCAGAUGUAUCAGACCUCAGUGACCAGGUGGUCACACUACAACAAGAACUAGGCAAAAGGGAAACAUUUUGGCAAACAGAACUAGACAAGCAGGUCACAACUCUUAAAGGCCAGGAUUACUGGGUCACAACCCUAUGGGACAUAAAAGACAAAGAUAGAACUUCACCUGACCUUCACCAUGGGGCUACAUCUCUACCCAUACAUGAAGAUCAGGAUUCAGACGUAUCAGACCUCAGUGACCAGGUCACACUACAACAAGAACUGGGUAAAAGGGGAACAUUUUGGCCAAUAGAACCAAACAAACAGGCCACAACUCUCAAAGACCAGAAUUACUGGGUCACAGCCCUAUGGGACAUAAAAGACAAAGACAGGACUUCACCUGACCUUCCCUUUAGGGCCACACCUCUAUCCAGACACAAGGACCAGGAUUCAGAUAUAUCAGACCUCAGUGCCCAGGUCACACUCCAACAAGAACUGAGCAAAAGGGAAACAUCUUAUCCAACAGAGAUAGAAAAGCAGGCCACAAUUCUAAAAGACAAAGUUUACUGGGCAACACCCACACUGGAUCUAAAACAUGAAGAAAGAACUUCACCUGACCUCCACCAUGGGGCUACAUCUUCACUCAGCUGUGAGGACCAGGAUUCAGGUGCAAUAGACCUCAGUGAGCAGGUCAUACUCCAACAAAAAUUAGGUAAAAAGAAAAUAUCUUGUCCAACAGAAUCAGACAAACAAGUUGCAAGUCUAACAGACCAGGAUUACUGGGCCACAUUCCCGUGGGACAUAAAACAUCAAGACAGAACUUCACUUGACCAUCACCAUGGAGCUACACCUCCACUCAGUCAUGAAGACCAGGAUUCAGAUGCAACAGACCUUAGUUCCCCAAUCAUACUCCAACAAGAACUAAGUAAAAAGGAAAUAUUUUGUCCUACAGAGUUAGACAAGCAGGUCACAAGCCUAACAGACCAGGAUUAUUGGACCACAUUCCCAUGGGACAUAAAACACCAAGACAGAACUUCACUUGGCCAUCACCAUGGAGCUACACCUCCACUCAGUCAUGAAGACCAGGAUUCAGAUGCAACAGACCCUAGUCCCCCAACCACACUCCAACAAGAACUAAGUAAAAAGGAAACAUCUUGUCCCACAGAACUAGACAAGCAAGUCACAAAUGUAACAGACAAGGAUUACUGGGCAACAUCUCCAUGGAAUAUAAAACAUCAAGACAGAAAAUCCCUUGACUUUCACCACAAGGCUAUAACUCUAUCCAGCCAUGGUGACAAAACUUCAAAUAUAUCUGACCUCAGUGCCCAUGCUAUACUCCAACAAGAACAAGGAAAAAGGGAGACAUUCUGGUCAACAGAACUAGACCAACAGGCCACAACUCUAACAGAUAAGGUUUACUGGACAACACCUACAUUGGAUCUAAAUCAUGAAGACAGAAUUUCACUUGACUUUCACCAUGAGGCCACUUAUCCACCCAGAAAUGAGGUCCAGGAUUCAGACUCAGAUGACCUCAGUGCCCAGGCCACACUCCAGCAAGAACUAGGCAAAAAGAAAACUUCUUGUCCUACAGAAGUAGACCAGCAGGCCAUAAAUCUAACAGAUGAGGUUUGCUGGAUAACAUUGCCAUGGGACAUAAAGCACCAAGACAGAACUUUCCCUGAUCCUUAUCAUGAAGUCACAUCUCCACCCAGACAUGAAGACCAGGAUUCAGAUGUGUCAGAACUCAGUACUCAAACCAUAAUUCAACCAGAACUAAAUGAAUGGAAAACAUUUUGGUCCAGAGAAGCAAACCGACAGGUUACAACUCUAAUAGACAAGGUUUACUGGGUAACACCCAUGUUGGAUCCAAAAUACCUGGACAGAACUUCACCUGAUCUUCAUCAUGAGAUCACACCUCCAUCCAGCUAUGAAGAACAGGAUUCAGAUUUCAUAUACCUCAGUGGCGAGGCCACACUCCAACAAGAACUAGGCAAAAGGAAAGCAUCUUCUCCUACAGAGCUAGACCAGCAGGCCAAAACUCUAAAAGAUGAGGUUUCCUGGGCAACAUUGUCAUGGGACAGAACUUCACCUGCCACGCCCCAUGAGCCUACAAGCCCAUCCAGCCAUGAAGAUGAUAGUUCAGCUAUAUCAGACCUCAGUGCUCAGUCCAUACUCCAAGAAGAAUUAGAUAAAUGGAAAACAUCUUGUCCCACAGAACUAGAUCAGCAGGCCAGAAUUCUAAAAGAUGAGGUUUCCUGGGCAACAUCCUCAUGGGGCAUAAAAUACCCAGGUAGAAAUUCACCUGAUAAUCACCUUGAGGCUACACCUUCAUCCAACCAUGAUUAUCAGGAUUCAGAUCUGUCAGACUUCAGUGCUCAGGAAACACUCCAAUUAGAUAUAAAUGAAUGGGAAAAACUUUGGCCAACAGAACUGGAUCAGGAGGGCACAACUCUACCAGACCAGGCUUCCUGGGAAAUCUCCCCAUGGGAUAUAAAACAGCAAGACAGAACUUCACCUGAUACUGACCAUACAACCUCAACAUCAUCUAGCCAUGAAAGGAAGGAUGGGGAUGUACCAGAUCUCAAUGCUGAGGCUAUACCCCAACCAAAACUAGACCAAUGGGAAAUAAUGCCAUCAAUACUAGAUCAAGAGUUAAGAGUUGAUCUCACAAUUCAACACUCCAGGACAAUACCUUCAGUGAGCAUAAUAGAGUCCCAGAAUGUGGUUCUAUCUGAUCCUGAGCACAAAAUCAUACCUCCAUCCAGCAAUGACUACCCAGUUGGGGAUAUAUCCAAGCCAAAUACCAAGAUUACACUCCAACAAGAUCAAGAUGACUGGGAUAUAUUUUGGACAAGACUAGACCAUCAGGACACAGCUUCACUCAACAAUGACUAUCAGAUCCAACAUGUCCCAGGCCCUAAAGCUGACAUAAUUCAAAAAGAACAAGAAGAUUUAGAUAUAUUUUGGACAAGAACAUUAGACUAUCGGGCCAUGACUCCAACAAACAAGGAUUACUGGACUGCAUUUCCUUUACUGAACAUAGAACAUCACAAUAUGAUACAACCUGAUCCUGACCACCAAGUAUCAUGUACAACCAGCCCUGACCAUCAAACUGAAGACACAACAGAUCCCAAUGUCCAGAGUAUAUUUCAAACAAAAAAAGAUUCAUGGGAAACAAUGCCACAGGAAAUAGAACGCAAGACCCUAAUUCUCACAACCCAUGAUCAGGAAGCAAUAUUUCUACUGGGCAAAAAUCACCAGGACACAAAUCUCCCUGGCUCUGACAAGCAAGAUUUCAUUCUAUCCAUCCAUGACACUGAGGAUACUGAUGUACCAGGCCCCAAUACUUUAGUUACAAUACAACCAGAAAAAGGACAAUGGGAAUUGAUGCCCCCUGAAACAGAUCACAUGGCAAUAAUAAGUUUCACAGUUCAUCAGCAGGAAGCAACACCUUCACUAUCUUUAAACCACAAGGACACAAAUCCAUCUAACUCUAUCCAUUGGGCAGCUACUUCACUGAUCAUUUAGUCUGUCAUUAGGCCAGCUUUUCUUAGUUAAAUUGAAUAGACCACUGGGAAACAAUGCCACCAGCCCAGGAUUUCAACAACACAAAACUAUAAGGCAACAACUAUACUGAGCAUUGACAUAAGAAUGCCAAACCUUGACUGACCCCCAAAAUCAUGACAUACUUCUACACAACUCUAAGGAUGCAAAAUCAAAUUCCAAUGCCAAGAUCAUAUUUCAAAGAAAACAAAGCACUGGCCAAGAACAGAUAAUCCGACCAUAGUCCUUAUAGAUCAGGUGUCUGAAACAAUAUUUCUCCUCAAUUUAGACCCCAAGAACACAGUUCUACCUGAACCAGACUCUAAUUCCACCAUGCCUGACCAUUAGACUAUGGAUGCAUCAGGCAGCAAUGCCCAAAUCUCAUUUCAUAUACAAAUCCACUUAAAAGCAGUUCAUAUACCUAUGAAGGUAUAACUCUUAUUAUCCAGGAUCAUGAAAAAACACAUUUAGUGGAUUUAGACAACCAGGUAAAAUUCCACCUUGACUUAGCCACUGAGUAUCAACUGCCCUAGAUAUUGGUUAAAAGACAGUGAAAGUCCAAUCAAUGCCUAAGGGGUCUAGGUUCCACCAUAAUUAGGCCACUAAGAAACUAUACUACUGGCAACAGACAUUCCCACUUCCCAAUUCCCUUGUGCAUUGACCCUGAGGAUACAAGUCUCCCUAAUUCCAGCUGUCAGAUUACAAUUCCCAAGUAGUCCCAACCAAAAGUCAAAAGCUAUUCCAUACUCCCAAACUAAUACCUCCCUCCCUCAGCAAAAAAGUCAGUGACUACAGAUCAAGAGGUCAUACCUCUGUUUAGUCCUGAUCUUCCAGUCACUCUUCUACUCAGUCCUGAAAAUCAGACUCCAUCACUUGGACACAGUUCCAACAGAUAUGAAUGAUCAGGAAACAGUUCUACCAAGACCAGAGUAUAGUAAGUAUAACACUUUCAUCAAGUCCCAGCUGUCAGCCUGAGCAUAAAAUUAAUUCUGAGCAUAAAAGGAGAUCUGACAAUCAAUCUGAGCUCUAACAUUAGAUCCAGAUAAAAUUAUACAAACUCGAUGGCAUUUAAAUUACAUCAAAACAUACAUCACUGAAAGAGAGUCAGUCUCUGCUACAACUGUUCAUGCCAUCUAUCAACAAUCAGGAGAAAAUUGAUGAUGACAUCUCUAUGCAGAUUCUCCUGCUAAGAAUGAGGUAAACCUCUGCUCUACCACCUGAUAAACAUACUGCACAUGAUUAUAUGGUCUGCUUAAUUUGUGCCUCCUGUAUCCUAAAUAGUAGUUCCCAUAUUCAGGGAACAAAUUAUUCUUAUGAGGCAAAAUUGCUAACCAUACCAAAACAUCUGCCUGGCUCUGAAGAGGAGAUGGGUGUGAAAAUUUGUCCUUCAAGUACUGCGCUCAACACUUUUCUUCUUUUUUAAUCUUCAAGCCACCCAUUGUGGUUUGUCCAGGCCUUUAUAUUAUUCACCAGUUUCUAACUCCUUCCCACUCAGGCUCUAUACUCACUAUACCUGCAAGGGCAAAAUGGCUUCAAUUUAUACUUAAUUAUUUCCAGGCAUUGAGGGCCACAUCUAGAAGUCAACAGCCAUUUGCAGGGUAAAUAGCCAUGAAGAGCAAGAGCAAUAGAGAAGAGGGGGCAAGGACAUAUUGGACAUUAAUCAGAUCCCUGCUAAAAGUAUUUCAAAGGUGACCAAGGAGAAAUUAAAUUAAAUAAACAUCAAUUUUAAAAGGAAA
ensembl:lncRNA